GAUGGCGCAGCUCGCGGACGCGGAGCGGGCGAUUCUGCGGCAGUUGCCGGAGGUCGGCACGGACUCGUCGGGACCGUUGGGCCCCGGCCUGUUGGCG
rnacentral:tRNA from 1 species